rnacentral:rRNA from 1 species
AUUGAACGCUGGCGGCAUGCCUUACACAUGCAAGUCGAACGGCAGCAUGAUCUAGCUUGCUAGAUUGAUGGCGAGUGGCGAACGGGUGAGUAAUACAUCGGAACGUGCCCUGUAGUGGGGGAUAACUAGUAGAAAGAUUAGCUAAUACCGCAUACGACCUGAGGGUGAAAGUGGGGGACCGCAAGGCCUCAUGCUAUAGGAGCGGCCGAUGUCUGAUUAGCUAGUUGGUGAGGUAAAGGCUCACCAAGGCGACGAUCAGUAGCUGGUCUGAGAGGACGAUCAGCCACACUGGGACUGAGACACGGCCCAGACUCCUACGGGAGGCAGCAGUGGGGAAUUUUGGACAAUGGGCGAAAGCCUGAUCCAGCAAUGCCGCGUGUGUGAAGAAGGCCUUCGGGUUGUAAAGCACUUUUGUCCGGAAAGAAAUGGCUCUGGUUAAUACCUGGGGUCGAUGACGGUACCGGAAGAAUAAGGACCGGCUAACUACGUG